AGUCAAUAGAUACCCCGGUAGUCCUAGCCGUAAACGAUACUCGCUAGGUGUCGGCCACGGUGCGACCGUUGUCGGUGCCGUAGGGAAAGCCGUGAAGCGAGCCACCUGGGAAGUACGGCCGCAAGGCUGAAACUUAAAGGAAUUGGCGGGGGAGCACCACAACGGGUGGAGCUUGCGGUUUAAUUGGAUUCAACGCCGGAAAUCUUACCGGGACCGACAGCGAUAUGAAGGCCAGGCUGAAGACUUUGCCGGAUUAGCUGAGAGGUGGUGCAUGGCCGUCGUCAGUUCGUACUGUGAAAGCAUCCUGUUAAGUCAGGCAACGAGCGAGACCCACGCCCACAGUUGCCAGCGUACUCUCCGGAGUGACGGGUACACUGUGGGGACCGCCGCUGCUAAAGCGGAGGAAGGAAUGGGCAACGGUAGGUCAGUAUGCCCCGAAUAUCCCGGGCUACACGCGAGCUACAAUGGUUGGAACAAUGGGUAUCUACCCCGAAAGGGGAUGGAAAUCUCCUAAAUCCAAUCUUAGUUCGGAUUGAGGGCUGCAACUCGCCCUC
rnacentral:rRNA from 1 species